CUCUCUGAUAGAACUUAGAAUUUCUGAUCACAUCCAGGGGCCAAAACCAGUUCUGUGAGCCACUGGAUGAAGACAUUGACCAACUAGAAAGCAUCUGCAGAGGUCAAGUAGGACCAUGGGAGAUCCAGAUUCCAUUUAAACAAGAAUGCCUUAAAGAAGUGGGAAUAUUUAGCCUGAGUGAGAGAAAAUGCUCUUACUCUGUGUGUGAUCAGAGGAGGAGAAAGGAGGACAAAGUUACAUCAAUGUGAUCAGCAACCAUUUGAUAGAGCUACUGUGCUCAAGAGGGGACAGUUUGAUUUAUACGUUUGACAAGGUGGAGCCAGGAUCAAUGAGUGAACAUUAAAGGAAAGAAUAUUUGGGCUCAAUAUUUGGGCUCAAUAUUUUGGGCUCAAUAAUUUGGGCUCAAUAAGGAGGACUUUCCCAAUAAUUACAACGUUCCAAACUUGAAAUGGGGUGUCUCAAAAAGGAGUGAGUGCCCUGUUACUGAAAACAUUUAGGUUAGGGCUAAAUAGCCAUCAAUUAGGGUGAUAUAAUGAGAUUCCUGUGACUGUUCCAACAAGCAUCUGGUGUGCACCAGUCAUGUAGAUUCUAAGAGACACUGAGAGCAAAGAGAAACACUUCCUCCCUCAAAGAGCUCAGGGUUUCAAGAGACUGACAUGUAAACAAACUGAUAAUAAUGGCAAUUUGGUAUAACAUAUGCAAUUUGGAGUAACGUGUGCAAAGGAACAUGGGCCAAAUUUUAACUACUAGAGAGAGAAAAGCUGAUGCUCUGCUAGGGGUAGGAGGAGGCUGAGAAUGAAACUAGAGAGGAUUUUAGGGAGAAGGUAAUGUUGAGCAGAUUUGAAGGAUAUGUAGGAGUUUUUUGUGGACACUAUUGUUCAAUUAAUGCUGGUCAAUAAGGAGAACACUCAGGAUAAGUGGGGCAGGGGUUGGGGGUUGCAAAAGACAUGGAGGUAGAAACAGCAUGGCUUAUCAAGGACCCAACUGGUUUGAAAGAUCUUCAGCAUAAGGUGGUGGGAAAGGGAAGAGAGGGGAAGUGGCAGGAGAUCAAGAAGAUGGGAGAGCAAGAAAGAGAAUGCCUUUGAUCUUGAACAGAAGGGCUUCCCUCAUGGAGAUGAGAGGAAAUGCAUAGCAAUGUGGAGAGAGUAAGGGCUGGUCAGUAAGAUUAACAUGGCUGGUGACAACAUAUUUCUCAGUGAAUAACUGAUCAACAUAAGACGAAUGAAGUUGUGUAGGGGUCUCAUGGAGACUGUCCUAAAGACUUAGCAUAAUUGUGGGCAAUGUGAAGGAAAGGCAAAAUAAUUGAUAGAUAGCAUCAAGUACCGAAAGGGAAAAUAUUAAAAUUUGUAGCGUCAGUCCACACAGGCCUCUGAUUUUCUUUAAGAGCACUCAGAUGUGUAGGGGGUCAGAGGAGAUGGGCUCUAAGGUCUUUUCUAAGUUCAAGAUUCCCAAACUCCAUGCCUUGCCAUUAUUCCCUCUUGGGCAUAUGGGAUAUUUUGUAAUGGCUUUUAAAAAAUAUAUACCAUAUAAUUGCCAAGGAAAAUUGUCUAAUUAAAUGAUUUUUAGUAUAUUCACAGAAUUGUGUUAGUAUCAUCCUAAUCAAUUUUGGAAAAUUACUCCCAAAAAAAAUCCUGUACAGGCAUACCUCAAUUUAUUGUGCUUCACUUUACCGUGUUUCACAGAUACUGCGUUUUUUUCCAAAUUGAAGGUUUGUGGCAACCCAGUGUUGAGCAAGUCUAUUGGUGCCAUUUUGCUAAUAGUAUGUGCUCACUUCGUGUCUCUGUCACGUUUUGGUAAUUCUUGCAAUAUUUCUAACAUUUUCAUUAUUGUUAUGUUAUGGUGUUGUGAUCAGUGAUCUUUGAUAUUGUUAUUGUGAUUGUUUUGGGACACCACGAACUGUGCCCAUAUAAGAUGGAAAACUUAAUUGAUAAAUGUUGUCUGCGUUCUGAUUCUUUCAUCAACUGGCUCUUCCCCCGUCUGUCUCUCCCUCUUCUUGGGCCUCCUAUUCUUUGAGACACAACAAUAUCGCAAUUACACCAAUUUAAUAACUCUACAAAGGCCUUUACGUGUUCAAAAAAAAGGAAGAGUCAUAAGUCUGACAUUUGAAAUCAAAAGCUAGAAAUGAUUAAGCUUAGUGAGGAAGGCAUGUAUAAUGCUGAAAGCUGAGAUAGCCAAAAGCUAGAACUCUUGAGCCAAACAGUUAGCCAAGUUAUGAAUGCAAAGGAAAAAUUCUUGAAGGAAAUUAAAGGUGCUAUUCUAGUGAACACAUGAGCAAUAAGAAAGUCAAACAGCAUUAUUGCUGAAAUAAAGUUUGAGUAGUCUGGAUAAAAGAUCAAACCAACCCCAACAUUCCCUUAAGCCAAAGCCUAAUUGAGAGCAAGGCCAUAACUCUUAAAUUCCCUGAAGGCUGAGAGAGGUGAGGAAGCUACAGAAGAAUAGCUGGAAGCUAGCAGAGGUUGGUUCACAAAGUUUAAGAAGCCAUCUCCAUAACAUAAAAGUGCAAGGUGAAGCAGCAAGUGCUGAGAUGGAAGCUGUAGCAAAUUAUCCAGCAGAUCAAGCUAAGAUCAUUGAUGAAGGUGGCUACACUAAACGACAUAUUUUCAAUGUAGAUAAAACAGCCUGCUUUGGAGAAAGAUGACAUCUAAGACUUUUCUAAUUAGAGAUGUCAGUGUUUGCCUUCAAAGCUUCAAAAGAACUGGCUAACUCUCUUGUUAGAGGCUAACGCAGUGGGUGACUUUAAGUUGAAACUAAUGCUCAUUUACCAUUCUGAAAAUCUUGGGGCCCUUGAGAAUUAUGCUAACUAUUCUACCUGUACUGUAUAAAUGGAACAGCAAAGCCUGGAUGACAGCACAUCUGUUUACAGCAUGAUUUACUGAAUAUUUUAAGCCCACUCUUGAGACCUACUGCUCAGAAAAAAAAAAAAUCCUUUCAAAAUAUUACCACUCAUUGACAGUGUACCUGAUCAUCCAAGAGCUCUGAUGGAGAUGUACAAAAAUAUUAAUGUUGUUUUCAUGCCUGCUAACCCAACACCCAUUCUGCAGUUCAUAAAUCAAGGGGUAAUUUUGACUUUCAAGUCUUA
rnacentral:lncRNA from 1 species